CAUUAACAAAUAAAUUAAAAUAAUCUGUACUCAGUCACAGAAAAUGUUUUAGAGAUAUUUGUAGUCUAUAUUGUAAUAUAAUUUAUUCGGUUUAGCAAAAGUCAUGUAAGUCAAGUUUCCUGCCUGUAGACCUGGCAGGCAGCCUGUAGUCAGUCUUAAUUAAUGGGGCCACUGCACCUGGUCCGCGCGGACAGGCGAACUUGAGUUCUGGCGGAACUUUGGAAGCGGUGGAUUUGAGCGGACCGAUCAGCGCGCUGCAUUUGAGGACCCGUCGCACUCGGUGGUUGGCGUUUUUGUCCAGCUAUUCCGCUCAGAUUGUGCAGAGACUUCAUCAUCCAACCUUCUCCGUCUGAUCGGCUCUCGUUCUCAGAGUGAAAAUCCAGCUAUCAUCGGACCAGAGCGGACUCCGGAAACGUAUCGAUCUGCCACUAAACAGCUGGAAAGAGAGGAUGUGACAGAAGUGCAGGGGAUUAAGUUCAGAUACGACGGAUACACAAAAGGACAUCCACGAUGCCAUUCGAGCAGCGCUUCCUGGUCUUUCACGGGAAGUUUUGGCCGCUUUAGAGGACGUUUCGGAGAAACUCGGCACCGCAACCGCAGACGAUUUCCAGUAUAUCACCGAAGGAGACUUGCAGCCUGUGCCGAAGCCCAUUCGGGCCAGAAGACCGGUCGCUGCACGGGCCCA